rnacentral:rRNA from 1 species
AUUAUGGAGAGUUUGAUCCUGGCUCAGGAUGAACGCUGGCGGCGUGCCUAAUACAUGCAAGUCGAGCGAACAGACGAGGAGCUUGCUCCUCUGACGUUAGCGGCGGACGGGUGAGUAACACGUGG